rnacentral:tRNA from 1 species
GCCUUCGUGGUGUAAUGGUCAGCACACUCGGAGCGUAUUAGAGAGGUCCGAGGUUCGAGUCCCGGCGAGGGCA